AGCUCCAAUAGCGUAUAUUAAAGUUGUUGCAGUUAAAAAGCUCGUAGUUGGAUUUCUGGUUAGAUGCGCCUGGCCCGCCGACGUUCAGUCGUGUGAAGUGCUGGUGCGCAACUGCCAUCCUUCUAGAGAAGGGACCAACGGUUCAUUCCGGCUCGGUUCACAAUCUAGAUCUUUUACUUUGAAAAAAUUAGAGUGUUUAAAGCAGGCUUAUGCUAUGAAUACAUUAGCAUGGAAUAAUAAUUUAGGACUUUGUUUCUAUUUUGUUGGUUUCUGGAAACGAAGUAAUGAUUGAUAGGGAUUGUUGGGGGUGCUAGUAUUCAGCGGCCAGAGGUGAAAUUCUCGGAUUCGCUGAAGACUAACUUAUGCGAAAGCAUUCACCAAGGAAGUCUUCU
rnacentral:rRNA from 1 species